CUCGGCCUACGGGGCGCAGCAGUAGGGAAUAUUGCUCAAUGGGGGAAACCCUGAAGCAGCAACGCCGCGUGAACGAAGAAGGCUCUUGGGUCGUAAAGUUCUGUUCUGAGGGAAGAAGAAAGUGACGGUACCUCAGGAGAAAGCCCCGGCUAACUACGUGCCAGCAGCCGCGGUAAUACGUAGGGGGCAAGCGUUGUCCGGAAUUAUUGGGCGUAAAGAGUACGUAGGCGGUCUGUUAAGCGCAAGGUGAAAGGCAUAGGCUCAACCAAUGUGAGCCUUGCGAACUGUCAGACUUGAGUGCAGGG
rnacentral:rRNA from 1 species